AUGGAAACAGACUGUUUAGAGGUAGUCAACCUCUGGACCUCGGGCCACAAUUCAAGGUCAAUUGUGGCACCUAUCUUUGAUGAAAUUAGGGAAAGAUCUACUUAUUUUGCCUCCUUUUCGGUUCAUCAUGUUAUGAGGGAUGCUAAUGUUCCAGCAGAUAUAUGUGCUAAAUAUGCUACUAGUCUUAGUAGUUCAGAGUGUUGGAUAGAGGAAAGUCCAGGCUUCCUCGUGAGUAGCCUUGUGGCUGAUUGUAACCGAAUUUCCAUUAAGCAAUAA
rnacentral:rRNA from 1 species